ACUUGCAGUUUCUUUGUCAUUUAUUGUUCUAAAAUACAUAUGUAAAUUUAAAUACAAUCUCCUAAGUAAUAUUUACUUAGUGUUUGCCAUCUAAUCAAAUCACACCAAAAAUGAACAACUCAAGUAAAACGUACUCAGUUCAGCAAGAUAAUUGAUGCGCAUGCGUCUUUGGCUCCGAGUUUGAAGUGGCGCGCACAGAGAAAAGGAAGAGAGACUUCACGACGGCUAAUGUGAAUUUUACCACGAUAUUGCACUCACUAUUCAAGCUAUAAUUCAAGGAUGUCAGCAGAGAUUUGAUUAACCUUCUCCAGUCAUGUCAUGAAAAUCAUCGUACUGAGCAGAUCUGUAGAAGAGGAAGAUGCCAGUAUAUCUGAUGUCAUCAUUGUCAUCGAG